CGAGCGGCGGGGGGACGCGGGCCGCGGGCGCUUCGCCCGCCCUUGCAUCGCCAUCUUGGGCGCGCACGGCCGCUGGGCUCCGCGGGGACCCCGCCACCUCGCGCCGGCCCUGCUCGGCCGCCGGGUCCCGGGGCUGGCUCGCGUCUCCCCGAGGGUGCGCGUCCCGGACCUCCGCAUCUCCACUCCUCCCCGCUGCCGCCUCGGGAUCACCUCCAUCUCUGUUCCAGGCUCUGCAGGCAGACCCUGGGGAUGGGGGAGCCCAGGCUCGUGGCCCCUCUGCCACCGAGACCCGUCCCCGCGGCCUAAGUUCUGGCCACCUCGCCAGACCCGGCCAGGACAGGAUAGGUUCCUCACCGGCCUCGUCCCCAGUUCCGCUGCCCUUCCAGGUCAGAGCCCUGGUCCUCCGUCCUGCCUUGCUGUGACCAGACAACCCAGGAUGUCCCAGCUCUGCGGCCUGGGGCCUGUUAAGCUGUUCUGCCUGUGCAGGGGAACCACGCAGUCUUCAUGCACUUCUCGGCCUUGGGCAGUUAUGCCGGUGACCUGUCCAUCCCUCUGUGCUUCUUGGAAACACCUGCUUCGCUCAGUGACAUCCUGGGGUGCUCAAGGCUUUGAAGAGCAUCUCCACCUUGGCCACGCCCAAACGUCUACCUGCAGUGUGGACGCCUGUCCUGGACCCCAGCCCUGGGUACUCAGCAGCUCCAUCAGACACCCCCCACCAGUCCUGCUGGCCCCACACUGCCCUGUCUCACUCCCAGCAGUUCCACUCUUCCCAUUGGCCAGGUCAAAACAGUCACUCUUUUUUUUUUUUUUUUCUUUUGGUACCAAGAAUCCGACUCAUGACCUGGAGCUUGCCAGGCAGAUGUUUACUCCACUGAACUAAAGCCCUGGCCAAAACACUCAUUCCUGUCUCUCUGUUUCACUCCCACCUCUCACCUGGACCGGUGGGGUCACUUCUUCCUUGUGGUCACCUUGCUUCUGCCUUUGUCCCCCCUUGUCUUUCUCUCCCUGUGGCAGCCAGGGUGACCCUGUCACGGUGAGAUUAUGUCAUGACUACCCAGAGCUUACCAUGGGAACCCAUCUCAGAGCCAGCGCUACUGUCCUUUUUAGGAGGCACAGGUCCAUCUGACCCAGAGACCCCCGCUGCCCCCAACCCCCUUUGUGCCCUCCUUUCCUCUCUGGCCACACCCAGCCCCUUGCGGCCUCUGUUCCCAGCCUGUGCAGCCUCUGCCACCCGCCCACCUUGGCCCAGCACGGUCCCCACACUAGAUCCUGUCAAGAUGUCCUCGAAUGACCAGAAGAAAUCCAAGGUGGGGGACCAAGGACGGGCACAGAACCCAUUGGAUUCUGGGGGCCUGAUGGGAAAGGAGCCACAGACCAGAAUCCAGGGUAGUCCCCUUGUGAAUACUCCCCAUUUGUCCACAGUAGCUGUCCUGUCCCUGUCUGUCUGUCCUUCCCCUACCUUCAAAUAAAUUGUCUGCUUUUAUUUUUAAAAAA